CAUACAGCUCAGCCUUACGUGGCUAACUUGCCCUUAGGAUAGGAAUACCCCCGGGAAACUGGGGCUAAUGCCCAAUAGGCGAAGAACUCUGGAAUGAGUCUUCACCCAAAAGAGCCUGCGUUAUGCUCGUAGGUUUCGCCCAAGGAUGGGGCCGCGACCGAUCAGGUUGUUGGUGAGGUAAUGGCUCACCAAGCCUUUUACCGGUGCGGGCCGUGGGAGCGGGAGCCCGGAGAUGGGCACUGAGACAAGGGCCCAGGCCCUACGGGGGGCAGCAGUCGCGAAAACUUUGCAAUAAGCGAAAGCUUGACAGGGCUAUCCCGAGUGCCAUCCGCUGAGGAAGGCUUUUACCCAGUCUAGAACGCUGGGGGAAUAAGGAGAGGGCAAGUCUGGUGUCAGCCGCCGCGGUAAUACCAGCUCUCCGAGUGGUGUGGAUGUUUAUUGCGCCUAAAGCAUCCGUAGCUGGCUAGGUUAUUCCCCCUGUUAAAUCCACCGAAUUAAUCGAUGCAUUGCAGGGAAUACUGCUUGACUAGGGGACAAAAAACGCAGACGAUAUUUUCCGAGUAUUGGUAAAAAUAAUAAAAUCCUGGUUACACUCACUGUGAGAAAAUAUGUCUGCU
rnacentral:rRNA from 1 species